CCUACGGGUGGCAGCAGUGAGGAAUAUUGGUCAAUGGGCGGAAGCCUGAACCAGCCAAGUAGCGUGCAGGAUGACGGCCCUACGGGUUGUAAACUGCUUUUAUCCGGGAAUAACGCGCCUUACGUGUAGGGCUUUGCAUGUACCGUAUGAAUAAGCACCGGCUAAUUCCGUUCCAGCAGCCGCGGUAAUACGGAAGGUCCGGGCGUUUUCCGGAUUUCUUUGGUUUAAAGGGUGCGUAGGCCGCUUGGCAAGCGUGCUGUGAAAUGUCCGGGCUCAACCCGGGCCUUGCAGUGCGAACUGGCGUGCUAGAGUGCGCGGAAAGUAGGCGGAAUGCGUGGUGUAGCGGUGAAAUGCGUAGAUAUCAGGAGGAACACCGGCGGCGAAGGCGGCCUGCUGGACUGAAACUGACGUUGAGGCUCGAAAGCGUGGGGAGCAAACAGGAUUAGAUACCCUUGUAGUC
rnacentral:rRNA from 1 species